rnacentral:rRNA from 1 species
UACGGGAGGCAGCAGUGGGGAAUAUUGCACAAUGGGCGCAAGCCUGAUGCAGCCAUGCCGCGUGUAUGAAAAAGGCCUUCGGGUUGUAAAGUACUUUCAGUCGUGAGGAAGGUGUUAAGGUUAAUAACCUUAGCAAUUGACGUUAGCGACAGAAGAAGCACCGGCUAACUCCGUGCCAGCAGUCGCGGUAAUACGGAGGGUGCGAGCGUUAAUCGGAAUUACUGGGCGUAAAGGGCACGCAGGCGGUUAAUUAAGUUGGAUGUGAAAUCCCCGGGCUUAACCUGGGAAUGGCAUUCAAGACUGGUUAGCUAGAGUCUUGUAGAGGGGGUAGAAUUCCAUGUGUAGCGGUGAAAUGCGUAGAGAUGUGGAGGAAUACCGGUGGCGAAGGCGGCCCCUGGACAAAGACUGACGCUCAUGUGCGAAAGCGUGGGGAGCAAACGAGGGAUUAGAUACCCGU